AAUGCCCUGAAAUGUGCGUCAGCUUUUAUUUUGAACCUACAUUUUCGAUACGGGAUUCCGUAUUCGGCUGUGUAUGACAGGCCCCAAGUUUCACCGGGAGUCAAGCCCCCCAGCCCACUCCCCACAGGGGAAGUCAAAAGCAGCCAAGAGGAAACCCACCUAGCAUUGCUAGGGAUCAAAAUGAGGCAACGGCAUUUUGGGGUUUUU
rnacentral:other from 1 species